GGAGGGAUCAUUAACGCUCUCUCUCAUCAUCAUCAUCAAAAAGGUUUGCUCUUGAUAUCUAUCUAUAGCGAUAUAGAUAGAGAUUAAGAAUAAACUGAACGCCUCCUCGCAUUAAGAUUGCACACAUUGAUAGAUAGUGCGCGCAAGCGCUCUAUCUAUCCGUGUGGUGUAUUUUUUAUGUGUGUGCGCGCACGUAUAUAUUUGCAAAAGUAUUGCGUGUUGUUGAAGUGCUCCCACAUAUUAACAAACAACCAACUUACACUUGAAAUAUCAAACAACUUCUAUGUUUCGAUUGAAACAUAACAACCAAAAUAGUUAAUAAUAAUAACAACUCCUAACAACGGAUAUCUUGGUUCUCGCGAGGAUGAAGAACGCAGCGAAAUGCGAUACGUAGUGUGAAUCGCAGGGAUCAGUGAAUCAUCGAAUCUUUGAACGCAAGUUGCGCUCUCGUGGUUUAACCCCCCGGGAGCACGUUCGCUUGAGUGCCGCUUACUCAUUAUUCCAUCUUAUUUAAAGUCUUGUUGACGUCAAAAAUCAACGAGGGAACGGGUUUUACCUUGUGUGUGCGUGUUCACGCGCAGCAUAUGAGGCAUGACCUUAGAUAGUGUGACCCAUUACCAUAUUCAAUUAAUAGCGAUAUAACACCCGAUAAUUGAUUGUUGUCAACACUUCGUAUUUAUAUAUAUAUAUAUAAAUACGCACUCGAUACGUAUUUCAAGCGAUAGGCUACAUAGAUAAAUAGAUUGAUGGGACUUGUCAAUUAUUGUCGAAUCGAUUGAGAUUUUGGGCGGUUUGAAGAGCUCUUGCAAGUGGAUAGAUAGAUUAUGAUCGACUAGCAUACACGUGCGCACGUUAGUGUGUAUUGUGUGUGUCGGGUCGCGCGCAGUCAAUCAUCAAUGAGCGAGAGCUUUAACUGGCCUUUGAGAUCUUUCUCUUUUCGAUGGACGUGGCUCGUCUUUAUUUGUCUCUAUUGUUUUUGCAGUACGUAUUGCAGUGCUCGUGUUAAUAUAUAGAUACAUGACGAUUUGAUUAAUUAUUGUUGAUGCAUUGCUAUUAAUCCAUAAAAACUUAUUAUCCCGGCCUCAAGUCGAGCGACAGUACCCGCCGAAUUUAAGCAUAUUAAUAAGCGGAGGAAAAGAAACCAACAGGGAUUCCCUUAGUAGCGGCGAGCGAAGCGGGAGGAGCCCAAGCUCUGAAUCUGGGCGCGCGCCAAGUCCGUGCUCCGAAUUGUGGUCUCAUGGCAAGGCAUCGCUGAGCGCGGUUGCUGGUCGGGCAAAAGUCCCUUGGAAAAGGGCGCCAGGGAGGGUGACAGCCCCGUCCAUUGGUCCGGCACGAAGCAGCCGUCUCGAUCGCGCUGUUGCACUUGCCCCAGAGUCGGGUUGUUUGGGAAUGCAGCCCUAAGCGGGUGGUAAAUCCCACCCAAGGCUAAAUAUUGUCAGCGAGAGACCGAUAGCGAACAAGUACCGUGAGGGAAAGAUGAAAAGGACUUUGAAAAGAGAGUCAAAAGUGCUUGAAAUUGUUAGGAGGGAAGCGAUCGGCACCGGCAGUUCGUCUUUGUCAAAGCUGUUCAGUAAUUUGUAUGCGAGAUGGCCGCGAGAUUAAAGAGUGCUUUACUGUGCCUUUAUUUUGUGUCAAUCUUGAAACAAAUUAUGCAUUCAGUUUUGAUAGCGAGCCAGCAUCGGCUCCAUGUGUGUGGCUGACGGGUAUUAAGGAAUGGGCUUGGAAGGCCGGCUUCAUCGCCGUGUCCUUCCGACGCGACCUUAAUAUACCUGCCAUGCAUUCGAGGGCCGAGGAACCAAUUAACCCAUGCCCGCAAGGGCGAGGCAGUGUGUGUCAUCGUAGUAAGCAUGCAUGUGGGGAUCGGGAACCGAUGCCUGUGUGCAGAUGUUUUAUUGCUUUGUGGCACAAGUCCAUCAUGUGGUGGGUUAGUGAUGCUGGCGGAACGGUGCUGAUCGACCCGUCUUGAAACACGGACCAAGGAGUCUAACACGUGCGCGAGUGUCCGGGUGGCAAACCUGGGCGCGGAGUGAAAGCAGAGGAUGGCAUUUGAUGGUCAUCUGAGGUGGGAAGAUGCGCUACUCACAAGGUGCGCAUCCGCACCACCGGCCGACCUGGAUUUUCUUGAAAGGUUUGAGCCAGAGCGUAUUUGUUGGGACCCGAAAGAUUGUGAACUAUGGGUGACCAGGACGAAGCCAGAGGAAACUCUGGUGGAGGUCCGAAGUGAUACUGACGUGCAAAUCGUUCAUCUGAGUUGCCUAUAGGGGCGAAAGACUAAUCGAACAAUCUAGUAGCUGGUUCCCUC
rnacentral:misc_RNA from 1 species